GAUGAACGCUGGCGGCGUGCCUAACACAUGCAAGUCGAGCGAAAGGACGAGUUGCUUUCUUCUCUGAUGUUAGCCGCGUGCGUGUUAGUUACACGCGUAUCACCUCCUUAUAGGUCUGGGAUCAAUUCGUUUAACCGUAGCUAAUACCGUAUAAUAUUUUGAACCGCAUGGUUCAAUAGUUAGCGCCGGCGUUGCUGUCACUUAUAGAUUGAUCCGGGCUGGAUUAGCUAGUUGGUAAGGUAACGGCUUACCAAGGCAACGAUGCGUAGCCGACCUGAGAGGAUGAUCGGCCACACUGGAACUGAGACACGGUCAAGACUCCUACGGGAGGCAGCAGUAGGGAAUCUUCGGCAAUGGGCGAAAGCCUGACGGAGCAAGGCCGCGUGAGUGAUGAAGGUCUUCGGAUCGUAAAAAUCUGUUAUAAGGGAAGAACAGAUGUGUAAGAAAACGUGCAGAUCAUGACGGUACCGAAUCAAAAAGCAACGGCUAACUACGUG
rnacentral:rRNA from 1 species